rnacentral:rRNA from 1 species
UACGUAGGGUCCGAGCGUUGUCCGGAAUUACUGGGCGUAAAGCGUGCGCAGGCGGCUUUACAAGCGCCACGUGAAAGCCCCGGGCUCAACCCGGGAGGGUCGUGGCGAACUGGGAGGCUUGAGGCCGGUAGAGGUGGGUGGAACUCCUGGUGGAGUGGGGAAAUGCGUAGAGAUCAGGAAGAACACCCGUGGCGAAGGCGGCCCACUGGGCCGGUACUGACGCUGAGGCACGAAGGCGUGGGGAGCGAACGGG